UAAUNCGGUACGGCUUCNGCUGGUCGCAUGNCUUCUUAGUAGGGACUAACAGCNUUUAGCUGUUGGAAGUUUGAGGCAAUAACAGGUCUGUGAUGCCCUUANAUGUUCUGGGCCGCACGCGCGCUACACUGACUGANCCAGCGAGUUUAUAACCUUGGCCGAAAGGUCUGGGUAAUCUUGUGAAACUCAGUCGUGCUGGGGAUAGAGCAUUGCAAUUAUUGCUCUUCAACGAGGAAUGCCUAGUAAGCGUGAGUCAUCAGCUCGCGUUGAUUACGUCCCUGCCCUUUGUACACACCGCCCGUCGCUACUACCGAUUGAAUGGCUCGGCCCGUG
rnacentral:rRNA from 1 species